GUGAACUCAGUCUGCCCCUCCCGCCGCACCUUACCUGACCUGACCUUCUGCCACGGUGGCCGGCGGCGUCGACGGCCUGAAUCAUGCGGGGAGAGAGAGAGCGUGAGGGAGGGAGGCGACCACCGGCGGUGGCGGAGUGGAGGUGGUGGCGAUACCGCGGCAGGCGGUACGCACGCAGGCUUGCGGCGGCGAAACAAUGGAGAGGCUGGCGAGGGGAAGAGAGGUCGGAGCUUCGGGCGGCGAGCUGGAGAAUCUCCGUCUUCACACGGGAUCUAUUCACUUCCCGGUUCAUGGCGGCGGCGGUCUUCCUGAUCCAGUUCUACAAGCCGAGCAAUGGCUGCAGACUAACCAUUCCAACUUACAAGACUUUGCGGAGAACUGGGUGCCUUCGCAACAGCGGGUGAUUGGUUGAGCUUAUUGGAGGGAUUGGGGAAUCAGUUCACUGACCUUUUGUCGAACAAGAAGACCUUGGUCCGAUGAGCACUCCGAGGGACAGUUCCAUAGCUUGUCUCAGUCCUGAAGAGGUGAGCUUGGUACUCUGAUAUCAGUGCUUCUGCCACCGUUUCUUUCGGUUAUUUUUGUGUUCAUUGCUGGCUCUCUCUUAUGUGUUAGCUUACAUCCUUGUGACUGUGUGAGGUUGGUCUUUUGUAUUGAUAUCCAUUGAAUUUGCAUCUGUAAUAUAUUCGUCGACACAAAAAUUUGUGUUUGUGGGUUGGUUAGUAAAAAGGAUCUUUUUGAAAUUA